UACAGAGGUGGCAAGCGUUGUUCGGAAUUACUGGGCGUAAAGGGCGCGUAGGCGGUCUUUUAAGUCUCGUGUGAAAUCCCUCGGCUCAACUGAGGAACUGCACGGGAUACUGGAUGACUUGAGUUCGGGAGAGGUGAGUGGAACUGCGAGUGUAGAGGUGAAAUUCGUAGAUAUUCGCAAGAACACCAGUGGCGAAGGCGGCUCACUGGCCCGAUACUGACGCUGAGGCACGAAAGCGUGGGGAGCAAACAGG
rnacentral:rRNA from 1 species